UUUGAACCUCUUGCCACCUUA
rnacentral:piRNA from 1 species